AUUGAACGCUGGCGGCAGGCCUAACACAUGCAAGUCGAACGGUAACAGGCCGAAGCUUGCUUCUUUGCUGACGAGUGGCGGACGGGUGAGUAAUGUCUGGGAAACUGCCUGAUGGAGGGGGAUAACUACUGGAAACGGUAGCUAAUACCGCAUAACGUCGCAAGCCCAAAGAGGGGGACCUUCGGGCCUCUUGCCAUCGGAUGUGCCCAGAUGGGAUUAGCUAGUAGGUGGGGUAACGGCUCACCUAGGCGACGAUCCCUAGCUGGUCUGAGAGGAUGACCAGCCACACUGGAACUGAGACACGGUCCAGACUCCUACGGGAGGCAGCAGUGGGGAAUAUUGCACAAUGGGCGCAAGCCUGAUGCAGCCAUGCCGCGUGUAUGAAGAAGGCCUUCGGGUGGUAAAGUACUUUCAGCGGGGAGGAAGGGAGUAAAGUUAAUACCUUUGCUCAUUGACGUUACCCGCAGAAGAAGCACCGGCUAACUCCGUG
rnacentral:rRNA from 1 species